UUAAGAACCACCAUCGUCAUCCCAUCGCUUCUAGUCCUUGUAGUAGUCUCAUCCCAUCAUCAUCAGGGCGUCACCAAGCUCCAAAACGCAGCUGCUUCUACUCUACUACGAUCAUCACCACUUGCACCGACCCAUUGAUCCGUGGCACACAACCAAAUGUGUGCCACACCAGGUAGAAGAAGAAGAAGAAGGACCAUCAUCCUAACCAUAUUCCAUCUAGUCCUGGCCAAUCGCCCUUAGUGGCUAACGGCCACCGCUCCGAGGACGAAGAAGAAGAACCAUCGCCUACCACCUACCACCACCAGGCACAGGCAACAGAGUGGCGCGGCCACAAAUGGGAAGAACCAUUGUGAACCGAAGACGCUGACGAAGAAGGCUAUUGAAUUUCUGAUCCCAUAGUGGUGGAUGGAAGGUCUGCUUUCAGCUCUCGAAGCCAUCACUGCGUUCGGUCUCUCUACGGUGGCCACACGACACCGGGAACAGGAAGAGUGCUCACCGUGUCCCGAGCUGCAUCGGACAUUAGGGGGACUCUGUAUCUUUCUGGUUUUCUUAAUUUCGCUGCUGAUAGCGCUGCUCUGGGGGAAGCGCCGUCGUCAAGUGCUUAGAGAGAAGCUCAAGAAGGAACAAUAAUGCUCUAUUUAAUUGUGUUUGUCGUCGUCCUCCUUGCAGCCACCUUCGUGGGCGUCUACCAGAAGACAAGGAAAAGUAAAUGGUGGCAGCGUUGCUGUGGGAAUCGGCCAGCGGAGGAAGGUGCUGCGAGCUGAAAACGUGCUUUUGAGGAUGGUGGCAAGGCCCUAACUCUUUCGGCAUGGACCGAUAGCUUGAUCCUGUCUUGACGUCACAGAGUUCACGGUGCCCAAUAUGUAUAAGGUUAAGAAAUAAACGAAAUUUUUUUCAUAUCAGUUA